rnacentral:rRNA from 1 species
GUUGUAUAGUCAAGUAAUUAAGUGCAUGUGGUGGAUGCCUUGGCAGUCAGAGGCGAUGAAAGACGUGAUAGCCUGCGAAAAGCUCCGGGGAGGCGGCAAAUAUCCUUUGAUCCGGAGAUGUCUGAAUGGGGGAACCCACCUACUUUAAGGUAGGUAUUGCAACAUGAAUACAUAGUGUUGCAAGGCGAACGAGGGGAAGUGAAACAUCUCAGUACCCUUAGGAAAAGAAAUCAAUUGAGAUUCCCUCAGUAGCGGCGAGCGAACGGGGAUCAGCCCAUUAAGUUAUGUGUGUUUUAGUGGAACGCUCUGGGAAGUGCGAACGUAGAGGGUGAUAUUCCCGUACACGAAAGGGCACACAUAAUGAUGACGAGUAGGGCGAGGCACGUGAAACCUUGUCUGAAUAUGGGGGGACCAUCCUCCAAGGCUAAAUACUCCUGACUGACCGAUAGUGAACCAGUACCGUGAGGGAAAGGCGAAAAGAACCCCUGUGAGGGGAGUGAAAUAGAUCCUGAAACCGCAUGCAUACAAGCAGUGGGAGCACCUUCGUGGUGUGACUGCGUACCUUUUGUAUAAUGGGUCAGCGACUUAUAUUCAGUAGCGAGGUUAACCGUAUAGGGGAGCCGUAGAGAAAUCGAGUCUUAAUAGGGCGUUUAGUUGCUGGGUAUAGACCCGAAACCAGGCGAUCUAUCCAUGAGCAGGUUGAAGGUUGGGUAACACUAACUGGAGGACCGAACCCACUGUCGUUGAAAAGCCAGGGGAUGACUUGUGGAUAGGGGUGAAAGGCUAAUCAAGCCUGGUGAUAGCUGGUUCUCCCCGAAAGCUAUUUAGGUAGCGCCUCGGACGAAUACCAUAGGGGGUAGAGCACUGUUUCGGCUAGGGGGUCAUCCCGACUUACCAAACCGAUGCAAACUCCGAAUACCUAUGAGUACUAUCCGGGAGACAGACUGCGGGUGCUAACGUCCGUAGUCAAGAGGAAAACAAUCCAGACCGCCAGCUAAGGCCCCAAAAUCAUAGUUAAGUGGGAAACGAUGUGGGAAGGCAUAGACAGCUAGGAGGUUGGCUUAGAAGCAGCCACCCUUUAAAGAAAGCGUAAUAGCUCACUAGUCGAGUCGGCCUGCGCGGAAGAUGUAACGGGGCUAAAACUAUGUGCCGAAGCUGCGGAUGUAUACUUUGUAUACGUGGUAGGGGAGCGUUCUGUAAGCCGAUGAAGGUGUGUUGAGAAGCAUGCUGGAGGUAUCAGAAGUGCGAAUGCUGACGUGAGUAACGACAAAACGGGUGAAAAACCCGUUCGCCGAAAGACCAAGGGUUCCAGUCCAACGUUAAUCGGGGCUGGGUGAGUCGACCCCUAAGGCGAGGCCGAAAGGCGUAGUCGAUGGGAAAAUGGUUAAUAUUCCAUUACUUCUGUGUAAUGCGAUGAGAGGACGGAGAAGGCUAAAUCAGCCUGGCGUUGGUUGUCCAGGUGAAAGGAUGUAGGCAUGUAUCUUAGGCAAAUCCGGGGUACUCUAUGCUGAGAUCUGAUAGCAAGCUGUACUUGUACAGCGAAGUGGUUGAUGCCAUGCUUCCAGGAAAAGUCUCUAAGCUUCAGUUACACAGGAAUCGUACCCGAAACCGACACAGGUGGUCAGGUCGAGUAGACCAAGGCGCUUGAGAGAACUCUGCUGAAGGAACUAGGCAAAAUGGUACCGUAACUUCGGGAGAAGGUACGCUGUUGUUGGUGAUGGAACUCGCUUCCUGAGCUGACGACAGCCGCAGAAACCAGGCCGCUGCAACUGUUUAUUAAAAACAUAGCACUCUGCAAACAUGAAAGUGGACGUAUAGGGUGUGAUGCCUGCCCGGUGCUGGAAGGUUAAUUGAUGGGGUUAGCGUAAGCGAAGCUCUUGAUCGAAGCCCCAGUAAACGGCGGCCGUAACUAUAACGGUCCUAAGGUAGCGAAAUUCCUUGUCGGGUAAGUUCCGACCUGCACGAAUGGCAUAAUGAUGGCGGCGCUGUCUCCAGCAGAGGCUCAGUGAAAUCGAAAUCGCUGUGAAGAUGCAGUGUACCCGCGGCUAGACGGAAAGACCCCGUGAACCUUUACUGCAGCUUGACACUGAACUUUGACCUUACUUGUGUAGGAUAGGUGGGAGGCUUUGAAGCUGGAACGCUAGUUCCAGUGGAGCCGUCCUUGAAAUACCACCCUGGUAAUGUUGAGGUUCUAACUCUGUCCCGUGAUCCGGGACGAGGACCGUGUCUGGUGGGUAGUUUGACUGGGGCGGUCUCCUCCUAAAGAGUAACGGAGGAGUACGAAGGUGCGCUCAGCGUGGUCGGAAAUCACGCGUAGAGUAUAAAGGCAAAAGCGCGCUUAACUGCGAGACCCACAAGUCGAGCAGGUACGAAAGUAGGUCUUAGUGAUCCGGUGGUUCUGUAUGGAAGGGCCAUCGCUCAACGGAUAAAAGGUACUCUGGGGAUAACAGGCUGAUACCGCCCAAGAGUUCAUAUCGACGGCGGUGUUUGGCACCUCGAUGUCGGCUCAUCUCAUCCUGGGGCUGAAGCAGGUCCCAAGGGUAUGGCUGUUCGCCAUUUAAAGAGGUACGCGAGCUGGGUUUAGAACGUCGUGAGACAGUUCGGUCCCUAUCUACCGUGGGCGCUGGAAAUUUGAGAGGAUCUGCUCCUAGUACGAGAGGACCAGAGUGGACGAACCUCUGGUGUACCGGUUGUGACGCCAGUCGCAUCGCCGGGUAGCUAUGUUCGGAAGGGAUAACCGCUGAAAGCAUCUAAGCGGGAAGCCUACCUCAAGAUAAGAUUUCCCUAGGACUUUAUGUCCUCUAAAGAGCCGUUCGAGACUAGGACGUUGAUAGGUUGGAUGUGGAAGCAUAGUGAUAUGUGAAGCUGACCAAUACUAAUUGCUCGUGAGGCUUGACUAUACAACACCCAAGCAGUUG